UACGGGGGGGGGCAAGCGUUGUUCGGAAUUACUGGGCGUAAAGGGCUCGUAGGUGGCCAACUAAGUCAGACGUGAAAUCCCUCGGCUUAACCGGGGAACUGCGUCUGAUACUGGAUGGCUUGAGGUUGGGAGAGGGAUGCGGAAUUCCAGGUGUAGCGGUGAAAUGCGUAGAUAUCUGGAGGAACACCGGUGGCGAAGGCGGCAUCCUGGACCAACACUGACGCUGAGGAGGCGAAAAGCGUGGGGAGCGAACAGG
rnacentral:rRNA from 1 species